AUUGAACGCUGGCGGCAGGCCUAACACAUGCAAGUCGAGCGGAUGAAGGGAGCUUGCUCCUGGAUUCAGCGGCGGACGGGUGAGUAAUGCCUAGGAAUCUUCCUGGUAGUGGGGGAUAACAUCCGGAAACGGGCGCUAAUACCGCAUACGUCCUGAGGGAGAAAGUGGGGGAUCUUCGGACCUUACGCUAUCAGAUGAGCCUAGGUCGGAUUAGCUAGUUGGUGGGGUAAAGGCCUACCAAGGCGACGAUCCGUAACUGGUCUGAGAGGAUGAUCAGUCACACUGGAACUGAGACACGGUCCAGACUCCUACGGGAGGCAGCAGUGGGGAAUAUUGGACAAAGGGCGAAAGCCUGAUCCAGCCAUGCCGCGUGUGUGAAGAAGGUCUUCGGAUUGUAAAGCACUUUAAGUUGGGAGGAAGGGCAGUAAGUUAAUACCUUGCUGUUUUGACGUUACCAACAGAAUAAGCACCGGCUAACUUCGUG
rnacentral:rRNA from 1 species